rnacentral:misc_RNA from 1 species
GAAAUGCGAUAAGUAGUGUGAAUUGCAGAAUUCAGUGAAUCAUCGAAUCUUUGAACGCACAUUGCGCCCCUUGGUAUUCCAUGGGGCAUGCCUAUUCGAGCGUCAUUUGUACCCUCAAGCUCUGCUUGGUGUUGGGUGUUUGUCCCCGUCUCCGCGCGUGGACUCGCCCCAAAGUGAUUGGCAGCCGGCGUACUGGUCCCGGAGCGCAGCACAUGUCGCGCAAACGAGUGCCUUGGUACGGCGGCGUCCAUAAGCCCCUCUCUCACGCUCUUGACCUCGGAUCAGGUAGGGAUACCCGCUGAACUUAAGC